GGCGGCGUGCCUAACACAUGCAAGUCGAGCGGUAACAGGUGUAGCAAUACAUGCUGACGAGCGGCGAACGGGUGAGUAAUGCUUUGGAAUCUUCCCAGUAGUGGGGAAUAACCAGUCGAAAGAUUGGCUAAUACCGCAUACGUCUGUAAAGGGAAAGCGGGGGCUCGUAAGACCUCGCGCUAUUGGAUGAGCCAAAGUCGGAUUAGCUAGUUGGUGGGGUAAUGGCCUACCAAGGCGACAAUCCGUAGCUGGUCUGAGAGGACGACCAGCCACACCGGAACUGAGACACGGUCCGGACUCCUACGGGAGGCAGCAGUGGGGAAUAUUGGACAAUGGGGGAAACCCUGAUCCAGCGACGCCGCGUGUGUGAAGAAGGCCUGCGGGUUGUAAAGCACUUUUAGUGGGGACAAAAAGCUACGGAUUAAUACUCUGUGGUCUUGAUUUAACCCAAAGAAAAAGCACCGGCUAACUCUGUGCCAGCAGCCGCGGUAAUACAGAGGGUGCGAGCGUUAAUCGGAAUUACUGGGCGUAAAGCGCGCGUAGACGGUUUUGUAAGUCAGAUGUGAAAUCCCUGGGCUCAACCUGGGAACUGCAUUUGA
rnacentral:rRNA from 1 species